AGCAGCCGCGGUAAUUCCAGCUCCAAUAGCGUAUAUUAAAGUUGUUGCAGUUAAAAGCUCGUAGUUGAAUUUCGGGAUCAGUACGCCGGUCGUGCCUUCGGUAUGCACUGGUGUCACUGGUUUCUCCCUUCUGAAGAACCAUCAUGCCAUUAAGUUGGUGUGGCGGGAAAUCAGGACUGUUACUUUGAAAAAAUUAGAGUGUUUAAAGCAGGCUCGCGCUUGAAUACAUUAGCAUGGAAUAAUGAAAUAGGACGUUUGACCCUAUUUUGUUGGUUUCUAGGAUCGACGUAAUGAUUAAUAGGGAUAGUUGGGGGCAUUAGUAUUCAAUUGUCAGAGGUGAAAUUCUUGGAUUUAUUGAAGACUAACUACUGCGAAAGCAUUUGCCAAGGAUGUUUUCAUUAAUCAAGAACGAAAGUUAGGGGAUCGAAGACGAUCAGAUACCGUCGUAGUCUUAACCAUAAACUAUGCCGACUAGGGAUCGGAUGGUGUUAAUUUUUUAAUGACUCAUUCGGCGCCUUAC
rnacentral:misc_RNA from 1 species